rnacentral:rRNA from 1 species
UACGUAGGGUGCGAGCGUUGUCCGGAAUUACUGGGCGUAAAGAGCUCGUAGGUGGUUUGUCGUGUUGUUCGUGAAAACCGGGGGCUUAACCCUCGGCGUGCGGGCGAUACGGGCAGACUUGAGUACUGCAGGGGAGACUGGAAUUCCUGGUGUAGCGGUGGAAUGCGCAGAUAUCAGGAGGAACACCGGUGGCGAAGGCGGGUCUCUGGGCAGUAACUGACGCUGAGGAGCGAAAGCGUGGGGAGCGAACAGG